GGAAGUAAAAGAACAAGGUCUCCGUAGGUGAACCUGCGGAGGGAUCAUUACGAGAGAUGGUGGGCUUCGGCCCCCGUCCCCCAACCCUUUGUUGACAAAACCAUUUUGCCUCGGGGGCAGAGCGUCCGCCGCCGCCCCCGGAGGACCACCGAACGCUGUCUCUUUACGUCGGAGUAUCAAUCAAAUGUAUGAAAACUUUUAACAACGGAUCUCUUGGUUCUG
rnacentral:misc_RNA from 1 species